GCAAAACAGAAACAAAUAUACAUGUACUAAAAUUGGAACAAUACAGAAAAGAUUAGCAUUGUCCCUGCUCAAGGAUGACAUGCAAAUUUGUGAAGCACUGCCUGUAUAU
rfam:Octopus bimaculoides Scaffold254532_contig_8, whole genome shotgun sequence.